rnacentral:rRNA from 1 species
UACGGAGGGUGCAAGCGUUAUCCGGAUUUACUGGGUUUAAAGGGUGUGUAGGCGGACUUUUAAGUCAGCGGUGAAAUCUCCGGGCUCAACCCGGAAACUGCCAUUGAUACUAUUAGUCUUGAAUGUUGUUGAGGUGGGCGGAACGGGUCAUGUAGCGGUGAAAUGCAUAGAUAUGACCCGGAACACCGAUUGCGAAGGCAGCCCACUAAGCAACUAUUGACGCUGAGGCACGAAGGCGUGGGGAUCAAACAGG